CGUGCACUCCUGCGGGAGGCAGCAGUGAGGAAUAUUGGACAAUGGGUGGAAGCCUGAUCCAGCCAUCCCGCGUGCAGGAAGACGGCCCUAUGGGUUGUAAACUGCUUUUAUCUGGGGAUAAACCUACUUACGUGUAAGUAGCUGAAGGUACCAGAAGAAUAAGCACCGGCUAACUCCGUGCCAGCAGCCGCGGUAAUACGGAGGGUGCAAGCGUUAUCCGGAUUUAUUGGGUUUAAAGGGUCCGUAGGCGGACUGAUAAGUCAGUGGUGAAAUCCGACAGCUUAACUGUCGAACUGCCAUUGAUACUGUUAGUCUUGAGUAAGGUUGAAGUGGCUGGAAUAAGUAGUGUAGCGGUGAAAUGCAUAGAUAUUACUUAGAACACCAAUUGCGAAGGCAGGUCACUAAGUCGUAACUGACGCUGAUGGACGAAAGCGUGGGGAGCGAACAGGAUUAGAAACCCUGGUAGUCCCAUGAU
rnacentral:rRNA from 1 species